GACGAACGCUGGCGGCGUGCUUAACACAUGCAAGUCGAACGCUGAAGACCUGGCUUUUGUUGGGUUGGAUGAGUGGCGAACGGGUGAGUAACACGUGAGUAACCUGCCCUCUUCUUUGGGAUAACGCCCGGAAACGGGUGCUAAUACUGGAUAUUCACUGAUCUUCGCAUGGGGGUUGGUGGAAAGGUUUGUUCUGGUGGGGGAUGGGCGCGCGGCCUAUCAGCUUGUGGGGGGGGUGAUGGCCUACGAAGGCGUUGACGGGUAGCCGGCCUGGGAGGGUGACCUGUCACGUUGGGACUGAGAUACGGCCCAGACUCCUACGGGAGGCAGCAGUGGGGAAUAUUGCACAAUGGGCGAAAGCCUGAUGCAGCGACGCCGCGUGAGGGAGGGAGGCCUUCGGGUUGGAAACCUCUUUCGCUCAUGGUCAAGCCGCAACUGUGGGUUGUGGUGAGGGUAGUGGGUAAAGAAGCGCCGGCUAACUACGUG
rnacentral:rRNA from 1 species